rnacentral:rRNA from 1 species
AUAUCAGUCAUGCAUAGCAUAUCAAUAAGCGGAGGAAAAGAAACUAACAAGGAUUCCCUUAGUAACGGCGAGUGAAGCGGGAAGAGCUCAAAUUUGAAAUCUUCAAGGUUCUACCUUGACGAAUUGUAGUUUAUAGAAGUGUUUUCUGUUAGUAGAGUGGCAAAAGUUCUUUGGAAUAGGACAUCAUAGAGGGUGAGAAUCCCGUAUUUGGUCAUUCCUUCCUAGCUUUGUGAUACACUUUCAACGAGUCGGAUUGUUUGGGAAUGCAGUCCAAAAUGGGUGGUAAAUUUCAUCUAAAGCUAAAUAUUGGCGAGAGACCGAUAUGCGAACAAGUACCGUGAGGGAAAGAUGAAAAGAACUUUGAAAAGAGAGUUAAACAGUACGUGAAAUUGUCAAAAGGGAAGCGUUUGACACCAGUGUUGUUUUUCCGAAAAUCAAUUACGAAUGUUUUAUUUUUGAGAAGUUAUGACUUCAUCGGCUUGCUUCUCUCUUUAUGAAACUUUCUUAAUGCACUUUUCGGUUAACAAGUCAACAUCAAUUUCUUUUGUUGUAAAAGGGUAUGAGGAAGGUGGCUUUCUUUUCGGAGAAAGUGUUUAUAGCCUUGUGCCUCUGCAAUCGGAGAGAUUGAGGUCUGCAGCGUAGAUCCUUCGGGGUUAGAUACGUUUGUGCUAAGUUAUAGCUUUUCAUAGACAACUUGUUGACUAUGUUUAGUCUUGUAGCUUACUCGCUGAUGCUAUUUUACCUACGCUUAGGAUGUUGAUGUGAUACUGCGAGCA